UAUAGCUCCGCUUUUUUCUCCUUAGGAUCUUCAAUCCCCUAUUCUUUAUAAACUAUAAAAGCUUUCU
rnacentral:tRNA from 1 species